rnacentral:rRNA from 1 species
GCCAGACUCCUACGGGAGGCAGCAGUGGGGAAUAUUGGGCAAUGGGCGCAAGCCUGACCCAGCAACGCCGCGUGAAGGAAGAAGGCUUUCGGGUUGUAAACUUCUUUUAAGGGGGACGAACAAAUGACGGUACCCCUUGAAUAAGCCACGGCUAACUACGUGCCAGCAGCCGCGGUAAUACGUAGGUGGCAAGCGUUAUCCGGAUUUAUUGGGUGUAAAGGGCGUGUAGGCGGGAGCGCAAGUCAGAUGUGAAAACUCAGGGCUCAACCCUGAGCCUGCAUUUGAAACUGUUUUUCUUGAGUACUGGAGAGGCAGACGGAAUUCCUAGUGUAGCGGUGAAAUGCGUAGAUAUUAGGAGGAACACCAGUGGCGAAGGCGGUCUGCUGGACAGCAACUGACGCUGAGGCGCGAAAGCGUGGGGAGCAAACAGGAUUAGAUACCCCCGUAUU